rnacentral:rRNA from 1 species
GUCCAAGCAGUGAGUGUGAGAAGUAGGCAAAUCCGCUUCUCGCGAAGCAUGAGCUGUGAUGGGGAAGGAAAUUAAGUACGGAAGUUCCUGAUUUCACGCUGUCAAGAAAAGCCUCUAGGAAGAGUAGUACUGCCCGUACCGCAAACCGACACAGGUAGAUGAGGAGAGAAUCCUAAGGUGAGCGAGAGAACUCUCGUUAAGGAACUCGGCAAAAUGACCCCGUAACUUCGGGAGAAGGGGUGCUCUAUUAGGGUGCAAGCCCGAGAGAGCCGCAGUGAAUAGGCCCAGGCGACUGUUUAGCAAAAACACAGGUCUCUGCAAAACCGUAAGGUGACGUAUAGGGGCUGACGCCUGCCCGGUGCUGGAAGGUUAAGAGGAGUGCUUAGCUUCGGCGAAGGUACGAAUUGAAGCCCCAGUAAACGGCGGCCGUAACUAUAACGGUCCUAAGGUAGCGAAAUUCCUUGUCGGGUAAGUUCCGACCCGCACGAAAGGCGCAACGAUCUGGGCACUGUCUCAACGAGAGACUCGGUGAAAUUAUAGUACCUGUGAAGAUGCAGGUUACCCGCGACAGGACGGAAAGACCCCGUGGAGCUUUACUGCAACCUGAUAUGGAAUGUUUGUACCGCUUGUACAGGAUAGGUAGGAGCCGAAGAGACGUGUGCGCUAGCAUACGAGGAGGCAAUGGUGGGAUACUACCCUGGCUGUAUGACCAUUCUAACCCGCCACGCUUAGCGCGUGGGGAGACAGUGUCAGGUGGGCAGUUUGACUGGGGCGGUCGCCUCCUAAAGAGUAACGGAGGCGCCCAAAGGUUCCCUCAGAAUGGAUGGAAAUCAUUCGCAGAGUGUAAAGGCACAAGGGAGCUUGACUGCGAGACUGACAAGUCGAGCAGGGACGAAAGUCGGGCUUAGUGAUCCGGUGGUUCCGCAUGGAAGGGCCAUCGCUCAACGGAUAAA